rnacentral:piRNA from 1 species
AAGAAAAUAAAGAUGACUGUAGA